rnacentral:rRNA from 1 species
GAUGAACGCUGGCGGCGUGCCUAAUACAUGCAAGUCGAGCGAACAGAUGAGGAGCUUGCUCCUCUGACGUUAGCGGCGGACGGGUGAGUAACACGUGGAUAACCUACCUAUAAGACUGGGAUAACUUCGGGAAACCGGAGCUAAUACCGGAUAAUAUAUUUAACCGCAUGGUUCAAUAGUGAAAGACGGUUUUGCUGUCACUUAUAGAUGGAUCCUCGCCGCAUUAGCUAGUUGGUAAGGUAACGGCUUACCAAGGCCACGAUGCGUAGCCGACCUGAGAGGGUGAUCGGCCACACUGGAACUGAGACACGGUCCAGACUCCUACGGGAGGCAGCAGGAGGGAAUCGUCCGCAAUGGGCGAAAGCCUGACGGAGCAACGCCGCGUGAGUGAUGAAGGUCUUCGGAUCGUAAAACUCUGUUAUUAGGGAAGAACAAAUGUGUAAGUAACUAUGCACGUCUUGACGGUACCUAAUCAGAAAGCCACGGCUAACUACGUG